rnacentral:lncRNA from 1 species
UGAUAUGAAAAAUAAGGUAGGAUAUGAGGACAACGAAUAAAGAAUAAAUUUACUUAUGGAAAUUUAGAAGUUUGUUGAUUGGUUUCAAAAUAUUAUAAUAUUUAUGACGAAAAAGUAAAGAUACUAUUGCAUCAAGUGUCUAUUGCACUUAAUGUGUACAUUAUUGUAAAAUUCUCAUGAACGGAUACAAGCUCUUGUCAAAUUAUCCAUGAUACAUUAGUUAUCGAAAUGCUUGAAGAAAGUAGUUUUUCUUAAUAUGGUAAAAACCUUAGCAUUGAGCGAGCCAAGGCGAUUUACUUUAUUAAUUGAAUCAACAAAAUGCGUGUAAAUCACAAAAAAACAAAUAAUAUUUUUUACAUU